GACGAACGCUGGCGGCGUGCUUAACACAUGCAAGUCGAACGAAGAGCGAUGGAAGCUUGCUUCUAUCAAUCUUAGUGGCGAACGGGUGAGUAACGCGUAAUCAACCUGCCCUUCAGAGGGGGACAACAGUUGGAAACGACUGCUAAUGCCGCAUACGAUCUGACCUCGGCAUCGAGGAUAGAUGAAAGGUGGCCUCUAUUUAUAAGCUAUCACUGAAGGAGGGGAUUGCGUCUGAUUAGCUAGUUGGAGGGGUAACGGCCCACCAAGGCGAUGAUCAGUAGCCGGUCUGAGAGGAUGAACGGCCACAUUGGGACUGAGACACGGCCCAGACUCCUACGGGAGGCAGCAGUGGGGAAUCUUCCGCAAUGGACGAAAGUCUGACGGAGCAACGCCGCGUGAGUGAUGACGGCCUUCGGGUUGUAAAGCUCUGAUAAUCGGGACGAAAGGCCUUCUUGCGAAUAGUUAGAAGGAUUGACGGUACCGGAAUAGAAAGCCACGGCUAACUACGUG
rnacentral:rRNA from 1 species